ACCUGGAUUACCGUGGUAAUUCUAGAGCUAAUACAUGCACAAAACCUGACUUUUUGGAAAGGUUGUAUUUAUUAAAUAUCAAACCAAUAUUCCUUCGGGUCUAUUGUGAUGAUUCAUAAUAACUGAUCGAAGCUUAGCUAGGCUAAGCUAAAUCAUUCAAGUUUCUGCCCUAUCACCUUUCUAUGGUAGUGUAUUGGACUACCAUGGCAGUCACGGGUAACGGGGAAUUAUGGUUCGAUUCCGGAGAGGGAGCCUGAGAAACGGCUACCACAUCUAAGGAAGGCAGCAGGCGCGUAAAUUACCCAAUCCUGACUCAGGGAGGUAGUGACAAGAAAUAACAACUCGGGGCCUCACGGCUUACGAGAUUGCAAUGAGAACAAUUUAAACCACUUAUCUAGGAACAAUG
rnacentral:rRNA from 1 species